CACAGAAGUCCUGUUGACUUUUAAAAAGCAAAGGACCACGUUGUGGAGAAGGCCACAUGGUAGGGGAUGGCAGGACACCUCUGGAUGCUGAGGGUCUCUGUCCUAGACCUACAAAGGAUGGAAUGCUACCCAACAACCAGUGAGCUCAUCUGAAUGAAUCCACAGCCCUGGCUGCCUGCCUAAGUUCCACCUGGUAAGAACCUGAGCAGAGGACGCAGUGAAGCCAUGCCCAGGCUUCUGAUUGCCCCCCAGAAACCAUGUGACAGCAGGAAAUUUUGAGAUUCUACAGUAAUGAAGUAAUAUGUCCUCACCAUGCAGCAAUUCAUGUCUUACCUGCAGGAAAGGAUAAGGAAUCCACUUGGAAAGUCACUCUGUAGUUCUCAUCCUCGUCAAUGCAGCAUCUGAAGUGAUGGGAACCCUUGCAGGGAACUGUAGCCUCCAGAGGAUCAACCAUGAUGUUUGGCUCUAGAGGCAGUGGGUAAACGGUCACAUCUUUCAUUACGACACUGUAUGAAUUCUUGUAUCUAAAUAUGCAGUGAUAGGUUCCUGAGUGGAAGGAAACAAAAAAUGAGAUGGAAUGUAAUCAUUGCUCCACAGAAGCAUUGGCCAGGAAGGUUCAGCAGAGGCUUACUACUGCUCCCUGUAGUAGUAAGCACGGGCAAGGACACAUCACACUUUCCUGGACACUGGAAGAGAAAAUGUUUGAUCAACUCUUCUGGAUUCUCUACGUAUUUGAAGGACCAACCGAUAGCCUAAGUAUUCACUUACUUUUAAAUAAAAUUAAGUGGCUUAUUUAAAGUUA